CGUGGGUAACCUGCCCAAGAGAUCGGGAUAACACCUGGAAACAGAUGCUAAUACCGGAUAACAACAGAUGAUGCCUAUCAACUGUUUAAAAGAUGGUUCUGCUAUCACUCUUGGAUGGACCUGCGGUGCAUUAGCUAGUUGGUAGGGUAACGGCCUACCAAGGCGAUGAUGCAUAGCCGAGUUUAGAGACUGAUCGGCCACAUUGGGACUGAGACACGGCCCAAACUCCUACGGGAGGCAGCAGUC
rnacentral:rRNA from 1 species